AACGUAAAUACAUGGAUGGUUCACUUUAUAUGCUAGCUACAAAUACAUAUGUAUGAAUUUACCUGCAUGCCGAUCGUAAGCUGGCCGUACAAAUAUUACGUCAGCAGAAAAACGUACCAUUUUAAUUUCAUGUCUAACCUAAUGAAACUUUAUCUAACCUUAUUGUGUACAUAAUUAAAUUGCUGACCAAAUUGUCGACAUAAUUUCUACACGGCCCCUUUCAUCAAUCAGUUGUUGCCCGUGACGGUUAAAUAAUUUCCAUCCUCGUCCACGUGAAGUAAGAUUUAACCCACCUUUCUUUGAGAGGUUUCUUAGAAAGCCUCGAAAAUAUAUACAUAGCUCUGGUCGUUUAAGGUGAUCUAUUUUUGACAGGACCCUUCUUUUCUUCGAAGGAUAUUGUCCUUAAAUUAAGAAUAUGAACUCUUCCCCAUUACGAUUCCAAACUUACUGCAAGAAACCCACAAAAUUAAAUCGUUCAAGUAAAUUUCUUUAAAAAUCAGUAAAUCAAGUAAUUUAAGAAAUUUCACCAAGUGUUACAAAGUGAGAAGGAAAAAAAUAAAUAGUAAAGUUGCCAACUUGGAAUAGAAAUACGCUGACAAUUCAAAACUUAUUAAAUAAUUCAGCCGAGAAAAAUCCACCUUUUUCCAAUUCCACUGUCAAAUGUGUCCACCACACCACGAGGCAAAAAAUGACGUCAGAUUUCUCUACGUUUAUAUUUAUCUCAGUUUUAAUGAACCUCUCAACCCCUCCGUCGUCUACAUGCUUGAAUGGCAUUUCUCCCCUUGCUGGGAUCGCCAUACCGGAAAUAACUUCGGCCACGAGGUCCGUUAUUCAUGGACGACAUCUACAUCGCAUCAUUUCGUAUUUAUAACAUUAUCAAGUUCGUGAAAAACAAGUAAUCUACCAUCGCCUGUUUUAAAUUAGUUUUAUCUUUAAUUGGUCGAUGCACACAUUUAUACACUAAUUUCGUCCAACUGCUUACUACAUAAUUACACAACAAUCAACACAAAGUAGUCUUAAGGUUAGACGGAAUCAUAAAGUUUAGAGUCUAAACUCCAAAAUUUCCAUGUGUGUAUUAAAAAAUUCGAAAUGUCACUUUCGUCAAACUGGUGUACAUAUUUAGGUCUAUAUUUCUGUGGUAUUCUACAAUAUUAACAAUUACGCAAUUUCUUCUGAAUCGGAGAGAAUAUUUGUGAAUCUAAAACUAACCAUGAUUUUGUACCGUCUUGGAAGUGGUGCACAUUUGCAAAUUUUUAGUUUUUAUGGAUGCAAAUAAUAGUGAAGGAAGGAAUAACGUGUUCCAGCUCAUUUUGCAUUUGCAUAUUUAUUCAGAAUAAUCUACAUAGGUACAUAUUUUCCAAUUACUUACACCAUACAAAUUGUAUCUGUAUGGCAGUCAUAAAUAUAUCCUUGUACAAGAAGAACGAUUAUCGUGUUACUUAUCCAUAGCCAAUGGUAAUUCAUAUUAUUAAACGUUUAAGUAUUUGAUAGGUUUAGCUAAGAAUUUAGAUUCAUUUUUGAACGUUUACCUUGUGUCAAUCCACUUGCAGUUAGAUGUAUUUCGUCGUCGGUGAGUUUUGCAGAAAUUGCCAAUACCUUGAAAGAUUUUGAGAUUGAAAGAUCAGAUCUUUUCAAACUCUUCCUAAACCCUAAACCAGUGGUACACCUUACCCGAAAGAUUUUUGCAUUCGUACGAGAAAAAUCAUGAGAAAUGUAGACUUACUAGUGACUAGAGCCACUAAAUUUAAGAGUGUUUGAAUUACCACGAAAUUUCUUGGGGAAAAAAUUGGUAUAAAAAUAAAUAAAAUUAUAAAUCAUAAAUCCUGUCGUCAGAAAACAUUAUCACAUGAAAAUAGGAGAACACUUUUUUAAACUUGGAAGGUAUACACCAACUCGCUGAGUAAUAAGGUACAAAAGUUAACCGUAAGUGCGUACAUAUGUAUUUACAAUGUGUAUUCAUACAAAUAACUUUGGACCAUGGUUGAAUUUCAAACAACGAAGUACCUUAUUAAAAAUGUGAAAUAUUCAGCACAAGAAAUCCGGGAUUAAAAUCCCCAGAUAUUACGACUAAUUAUUGUUUCUUUUCCGUUCCACCCUUCCUUGAUUUCUUCUUCUUUACGAAAGCUUUACUUUAAAAUUAUUAACCUCUGUCCUGUUAGCGUAAUAACAGUAUUUAGACACACAUACAUAUGUAAGAUUUGUCAAUUUGAUGACAUAUAUCCGCCCACCCCACAACAUGCAAGGUCUCAGAACGAUUAGCGUAUUAGGUCGUGUGUAUAUAUUCAUAAGCAAGUUCAAUGAACCGGUCCUUGCGUUAAUAUGUUAGAAGGAAGGUUUAUUACAUGGCGAAUUUCUGAUACGAACGGAAUAUCUGUAGUUAAAGGCCGCAGAGUUAAGUUACUAGCGCACAAAGGUAUUGUGCGCUGAAAUUGUAUCUUAAUUUAAUUUUGGCAGAUCCAGAUGAAUUAUCGUGCAAACUAAAUUAACAUUAAAAUUUUGGUUCAUUAAGAAGCCUAACCUUGUGUUAUGAACCAGCAGUAUUAACUAGGAUUUUCUUACGGCAGCAUUUUUAUAAAAAUGAGUCCAACCUAAUUUGCAGAAUUUUUCUUCCCACACAAAAAUGUAAAAAGUUACGUAACACUAAUAUAUAUAUAUAACAAUUCAUUUAUAUUUUUUAAAAUUAAUUAUAUGCGUAACAUCUUUAGGUAGUACAUACCAUGUAAUCAUUAUUUUUUUAAAUUUGCAUAUGCAAAUCUUAAUAUCUAGAUAAAUAUAAUAAAAAUACUCGUGUAUUAAAGAAUUUUAGUUAGUUUUAUGUAUACCAAAAUUAGUAUUUUAUAACGCAUACUUAUUAAUUGGAUAAGUUUUUAAUAAAAACACAUUGAUAAGUUGGUUCAAAGGAACGAGAUUUGGUGAAUGUUUUAACUUUGACGUGCGUUUGCAUGAUUUUAUUUGCUAUGGAUGUAUAUCACGUAUAUGUAUGUAUAGGUA